UUGGCCUGUCGCCGAGUCGGCGUUGCGGGCGGCGGGGUUCUGCUCCGGAAAAACACUGCUGAAGAAUGCUGAUGUGGCAGUGAAACAGCCCAAAAGGAAGAGGAAGCUGAGUAUGGAUUCCAAAGAGCACUGAAUCUGGAAGGCUGCCUGGCCCUGCAGUGGCUGCACAGGACCCCUGGUCUUGGGAGCAGUUCUUGAAAGAGGAGGCGGCUGCAGCAGCACCCAUGGAGCUGUUUUCCAAGGUGUGUGGUUACUGUCUGAUGAUUGUUUAAGCUGCUAUGAUUUUUGGACCAAUGCCAGUUCCUCUGACAUCCAUCCAGUAAGGUGGAGUGAAAGGAGCAAACAUGAACUGCACAUCCCUGAAGCACGGGCCAGUGCCUGAAGACUUUCGGAUUGCAGUGAAGCUGGAACCCGUCGACAAGAAGAACCCCUCCUUGGUGUGUGUGGCAACCGUGGCAGAUCUUGUUUGGAGACCGCUUGCUAGUGGAUUUCCACAAUUGGGAUGAUAGUUUCCAUGACUGGAGCAAAGGAUGUGCAAGUCCCCCCAGGUCACGCUACUUGUCCCACUCCAGGGUGCCGAGGCAUAGGCCACACACAUGGUCCGUGGUAUUCUGGACAUUACAGAGUGAACAUUUCGAGCUCCUGAAGUUUCAAAGAAACUGUUCCAGAGAACAGCCACUUUGAGGAUAAAGUCAUGGGUUAAUUUCAUCUUUCCAUCUUUCCUGUCAAGUGUUGCUUUAGAAAGCGGCCCACCACUGGUCUAAACAGAAUGGAGCCUUUAUCAGAGAGAAGCUGGCAUAUAAUACUACUGAGAAGAGGUCAUGUUUUAUGCUAAAAAGAACCCUCAGUUCACCUCCACUAGUUUUCUUCCUCCAGAACAUCUCCGCCUUCAACUUUCCCCAAGUGCAUACAUCUACGCAAACUCAUAGCCCCUUGCUAGCUUCAGUAUACCAAAAACAGAAGGCAGGCUGGAAUGGAAGGCUGACCCCCAGGAAGGGGAGGAAAGGGAGACAGCCAACCCAGCCCUGCUCUGUGCCCUGGACCAGCCCAUGUGCCCUGAGACAGACUCUGUUUCUCCUACUUCUAGGAGCCUCUAGCUGUGAGAUCCAGUUCUACAGAACCACACGGAAGAGCAGUCUAUGGGCCAGGAUAAUCUACGCUAUUCCAAAUUGGACUUGGUUCCAGCUUCUUAGAUGGCAAAACUAACGCAUCCAGAGAGCUUAAAACACCGACUAAUCUAGACAGAUUUGCCAACAAGCACAUACAGCUGGAACAUUUCUACUGCAACCAUUUUUGUAUAAGCAAGUUUUUAAAGAUGGUAAUAAACAAAAUUAAAGGCAAAAGAAAACCUCUUCUGCCUUUUCAAAUACUAUGUACCCCCCUACCCCAUGUCCUACCUGGAGUCCCUCCCCCCACCCCACCAUAAUCACCACACUAGCCUCAUCUGAUGAAUUCACUCCAGCAUGAAAUCACGCUUCCUCACACCAUUGCAAGGAUGUUGGGAAAACUGUCCCUCAGUCUGCUGCAGCUGGAGGCCAGGGACCACACAGGAUGCUCCUGGGGUGCCAGGCUCGGCAAGGGCCAACGCGGAGGGCCGAGGCUUCCAGCUUUGGCAUGUGUUGUGAAUGAAGUCUGUGCACACCUCAAACUUGUCCUUGUCCUUGUCCUGAGAUUAUGAAGCUUGGUGGUUAAUCCUGUGACUCAAGAACUUGUCACCUGGGGAAAAUAAACAAGGUGAAUUGAGUGGCAGGCGAAGCCCUUGGCGCUUUGCGGGCAGCACUGAGGAGCACAGGUGCACAGAGGGAGCAGCAGCCAGUGGCCGGCUGUGCUGAGGCUGACGCAUCCGCCCUGGGCUCAGGCCACAGAUUCUGCAGGAGGCACCCCAGUCAUCCUGCCCGACUCCCCACUCCACGCUGUCUGCUCUGCUCAUCUGCAGAGGAGUCCAGAAGGAUCCCUCAGUCCUGUGGAUCCCUACCUCUAGCAUCACUCUCACAAGCUUACGUUCUGCCUUUGACUCCCAGACUGAGGAAGUCUCCAACUCCCACUGGCUGGUUUUCUCUAGAUGCGGCAGAACCAGCUUCUCCUGCUCCUGCCACUCUCAUGCAGACCCUCCAGCCUGCCUUCCGCACCCCCUCCCUCAGGCUGGCCCCAAGAGGGGGCAGGAUGACUUUCCAGACCUUUGACUUUUCUUUCCCUAUUCAAGAACCUGCUGCAGAGUUAUAUGUACGGCGCAGUGGUUAACGAAUCCGACUAGGAACCAUGAGGUUUCGGGUUCAGUCCCUACCCUUGCUCAGUGGGUUAAGGAUCCGGCGUUGCCGUGAGCUGUGGUGUAGGUUGCAGACGUGGCUCGGAUCCAGCGUUGCUGUGGCUCUGGCAUAGGCUGGCGGCUACAGCUCCAAUUCGACCCCUAGCCUGGGAACCUCCAUAUGCCGUGUGAGCGGGCCCAGGAAAUAGCAAAAAGACAAAAAAAAAAAAAAAAAAAAAAAAAAAAAGAAAAGAAAAAGAAAAAGAAAAAAAAAGAACCUACUGCAUCUCUGAGCAGCUGGAACUCCCCCAGGGCCCCCGUUGUGAGGAAGUGUCUCCACAGCCCUGCUGCCCAGCUCCGUUGGUCUCCUCUCAUGAUCCUGUGAUCCAGUCCUAUUUCAGGAACCUGGGCCCUGUGCCCUCCUAGGACCUAAAUGAAGAAACAACAGCAAGAGCAAAAACAAUUUGAUGAAAAUGGUCCCUUCCGAGAUUUUAUGUAUUUAAUGAAAUAAUGCAUAUAAUGUGAAAUGCACUUACAGUGCCUGGAUACACAUUAAAUGUUUAAUACAUAUAUAUUUCUACUGUUAUGGUUAUAUCAUUAUUAAACAGGUACUAUGCAUAAUAACAAUAAAUCGCAAUGUAAUUUACAC
rnacentral:lncRNA from 1 species